rnacentral:lncRNA from 1 species
GUGUUUAUGGACAUCCUGUUUAAGUGCAAAAAUUCACAACUGACAGUGGCACAGACAUUUGAGAUGCCCUAAGCAAAAGUUUCUUUGAGGCAUUUUGACCUUUUAUUAAUUGCAGCAUUGUCAGAUCUCCAGCUUCCUCGUCAAUUUCUCUCCCUGUCUCAUUCCAGCUUGGUCUUGAUAACAGUUGUGCAUUUCUCUUUGGAGACCACAGCUGUGUGGAUACUUUACUUUUGUCAUGUUGUGUGGCUUGCUGACCUUCAGCAGAGCUAAGGUUUGACUAAGCAAAGAAUUCUUCACACUGUCAUAAGUCCUUGAAGCUGAAGACUGUGUUUUGAGAUUCUUUCGGAUACGUGCACCCUGCCUAGUACACAGUCCAUGUGAUGUGUGGUGAAGAUGCGUGUCACAGUUGGUAAUCCUGGUAGAUUAGGGGGUGUUGCAGAGAGCCUGUGGUCCUCUGUGACUUAAGUGUUAAUCUUGGCGUUGUGGGACUCUUAAGCCUUAUGAGGCUACUCCAAGAAAGAGGAAGCAUAUGAAAAAGCUCUGCGGAAAUCAACGUUUUUCUGGGAUGAAACCUCACAAUACAUUUACAGUGUGAGUCUUUUUUCAUAGCCUGGAUUGGCGAGGCCUGAUGUCACUCAGUGCAGCAUGGUGAAGCACCCUUGAAAAUGAGUGGUGUCCUGGUUCGUUGGCUGGUCAGAACAUCAAACAAGGUCGAGUUUGGACGGGAUGAUCCACAUCAGAGAGGAAGUAUAAUGGCCGCCCUCGUUAGAGAGAUGCGUCAUCCCUUGGUUCACAGCUGCCACAGGAUACUCGAAAAAUCAUUUCAUGGGUCUGGGUUGUUGAAGAAUUGGGUGUCCAUACAAAUAUCAACUAAUUGAC